UCCAGAAUUAUAUUGAGUGCACAACUGGGGCUUAGAAAAUGCUACAGUGAAGAUGUGGAGAGUCACAGGUUUAUCUUCCUGCACAUUUGUGGCAUUUUGACCUAUACCUGGUCCAGUGGGGAAGAGAGGAAAUAAUGAAUAACCUGAUUCCAUGGCUGGCACAGUGAUAAUGCUGGCGAAGAGAACACGCUGGGAAGUUUGGCCAUUGUGCUUGCAGCUUUGGCCAUCUGAGAUGGAAACUGGGGAGUACUGUGGUUGAUACAUGAAGGAGAGGAAAGAGAGGAGAUCUGCACAAACACCAAACCAGACUCCUUGAAGGUGAAGCUACUGAAGAUCAUUGAGGUGACAGGGUAAAGACAAUCUGGGAUUCAGUUCAGGAAUGGGCUGACCCCAUGUCCCAGGACCGAGAGAGCCACUGGUUGAUAUAUCUAUUGGCUUGUUGCCAUGUAGAUUUAUGUCCCACAGUUAGGGUAUGAAAUCUUAAAAUAUAAUGACAUCCAGAAGAUUUGUUACAUACAGUGGAACAUUAUAGUUUCAAUACUUGGAGCAAAUCCUACCAAUUAUUGAUCAUUGUUAAAAGAUUAAUUUGAACCAGCACUCAAAUUCAAAUAAGUAAGCAUGCCAGCAAAAUUAUUGAGGCAAAAAAUAUCAAUGUAUGCCUUCUGGUUUCUGAAUCAUUCUUGCAGAUCACUUUCAAUAAACAUGUAACACCUAC